rnacentral:lncRNA from 1 species
AUUAAUAAAUUAUUUUUUUAGUUAAAUUGUGGCUUACUUCCCAUUUAGUAUAGUUGAUUACGGUACUAUGUUCAAAAUUCGCGGAAAAACAAUGUUAGCAGUCUGAUACAGAAAAACGAUUAAUAACGAUGAAUAGAGAUCCUAGCUAGAAUGUUAGAGAAGUUAUAAAUGUCAAAAUUUAGAAAAAUCAAAACACACUUUACAGCAGAUAGGCUAAUCAUAGACUAUAUUUAUCAGUGUUACCAAUGGCUGAGCAUGGAAAGAUGCACCUCCAUGUCAAAAAUUAUGCGAUUUUAUCCGAAAUUAUGCGCUCUGUCGUAAAACGUAAAAACUAUUUUAAAAUUUACUGCGCAUGCGCAGAAAUUCAAAAGUCUUGACGUGUCAAAGCAUUUUUUUGACAAAUGACAUUAAAUAUUUUUGUAAAUAAAUAUUUACGAACAACCUAUCAAAUUUUUACAUGUAAUAAGAUCUUAGACCCAAAUAAAAAUUAAAAUCAUUAAAAAGGGAGUUGUUAAAAUACUUUUGUAUAUUAUGGAUAUAAAAUGGGGAAUUUAUGGACAAUGUAUUAUUAGGGAAUAGUGGACAAGUCCUCAACUACCUAAAAUGACACCAUUAGAAGAUUCACCAAGAAUUGUGAUUGAAAGAACAUUUGGUAUUUUGAAGAGAUUUCCCAUUUUAACGUGUGUAAUAAGAAGCAAGUUACCAUUUUUUCAAAGAAUAAUAUGAGCUUGUUGAGUUUUACAUAAUAUUGCAUUAGUUAAUAGAGGAAACAUUGAAAUACUGACAAAUAAGGGUGCUGUUGAUAUUGAUAUAGAACAUUUUCAACCA